rnacentral:lncRNA from 1 species
GGAUCUUGCUAUAUAUUUCAGGCUAGCCUUGAACUCCCUGGGGCCACCUCACCUCAUAGCGAUCCUCCUGCCUCAGCCUCUGGAGACCUGGGACUACAGGCAUGCAGCACCUCACCCGGCAACUCGUUAGAGCUGAGACCUCAAUGGUUCCAUGAUGCUGUGACGCUCAACGGCAGGAUUACACCAGCUGAAGACGCCCUGGGUCUCUGAGAACCGAGCAGAAAGGCCUUACCUGGGGAAGGACAAAUCAAAUUCCUUAUCAGCUUAACUCAUCCCACCUACUGUUGUAAGCGCAUCUUCCACAUCUGGCCUUCCUGAUGAACGUAAGGCCCUGGUCAGUGUAAAAUCCUCAUCAGCAUAAGAUCC